AGGAGGAACAGCCCCAGUGGCGAGGCCAGCUCUGGAAACCUGGAUUCAGCUCCGGCAGGAACUCCGGAGCUCUCCGUCUGCAGGGCCUGGAGGCUCCGGGCGGGG
rfam:Canis lupus familiaris chromosome 13, whole genome shotgun sequence.